CAGGGAGACAACAAAAUGUUAAAUAUUAAUUUUGUCACCUUAGGUCGAUCGGUAUCUCAGAUUCUUAAUUACUUUAAGAAUUUCAUUUCCUAAGUUUUUUCUAGGUCACACCCAUUACUUUCCCUGGGCCAUUAGCUCAAGUGGUUAGAGCGCACCCCUGAUAAGGGUGAGGUCCCCGGUUCAAGUCCAGGAUGGCCCAUAUCUCUAUGUUGGGGGUAUAGCUCAGUUGGUAGAGCGCCUGCUUUGCAAGCAGGAUGUCAGCGGUUCGAGUCCGCUUACCUCCACUGAUUACCACCUCUUCCAUAAAUUUAAAGAAGGGAAUAGUUAUGAGCGUUGAUUUACUUCUGAACGAAUCUAGCUUCCUAAUAAAUACAUUAAGAUGCUGGACUCAUUGAAUUUUAUUCAUUGUUUUCAGAGAACCUUGACAACUGCAUAGAUUAUUUUUAAAGACAAUAAGCAUCUUUAAUGAUGCAGAUUUAUUAUUUGUGCUAAUGCAUUAAUAACAAUUCUAUUGAGCUGAUGCUUCAAUUAUUUGAAGUUAUU
rnacentral:tRNA from 1 species